UCAAUCUUUGCGCCCAGAGGUUGCAAUAAGUCUGAAUCCCACAUCAAACUGUUUGUGGUACCUCUAAACUUCAUGGAGGAGCCAUGUUUCAUAAAUCUGAGAAAGCCUUGGUCUGAGGGGGGCAAAGACAGAAAACCUCACACCCUGCCCAUGCAUAGCCACUUUGCAGUUGGACAUCCCCAGACACUUUUCUGACCGUCGUUGAAAUUUCCUGGAGGGAGGUAUGAAGAGUUACAUCCAGAGAACUCUGAACAUUUUGGAAGGACCCUAAGCCUGCAAACAAUGAAUGGCAAUAAAUCCUGGGACUGGAAAGAAAAUCAUAUUUGCAUAUGCAUAAGGGAAAGGGGAGAUGGUGAAGACAGAAGAUACAGAUAAACAGAUGGUUGUUGAUCUAUCUUCCCUACCAGACAGAGAGUGCUUGAGGAUCGGAAUUCUAUUAUUCAUUUUUGUAUCACCAUAGUGUCUAGCACAAUGCUUUUUUCAGAGAAAACACAAGUUUCUUUGCAUUAAAAAAAGAAUCACCAGUAUAUCUGCUUCUUUCUCUAUGGAAGCUGUGGAAAUAAGUAACACUGAGCAAAAGAACUUUGAAUUUUGCAAAGUUUAAUGAAGCCAGAUGUCAUGUUCAUGAGACUCAUGUGUCAAGGAACUGAAGAUGUACCCCGGCCAACAGCCAGCCAAGAACUGAUUGGCUAAGAGUCCUUGAGGAAGUGAAUCUCACCAACAACCAUAUAGUGAACUUGAAAAUGAUCCUUCCUCAGUUGAACCCUCAGAUGAGACUGAAGUCCUAAUUAACAGUUUGUUCUGCCUUGCGAGAAUGUGAAACAGAGGCCUAAGCUAAGGCAUGCCCAGAUUCUUGAUCCACAGAAACUGUGUGAUAAUAAAUGUGCAUUGAUUUAAGCCUCA